rnacentral:tRNA from 1 species
GUUUGGAUAGCUCAGUUGGUUAGAGCAUGUUGCUGAUAAUGCCUAGGUUGCAGGUUCAAUCCCCGUUUGGGACA